rnacentral:RNase_P_RNA from 1 species
GCGGAUACGCGCUCCAUCGCUGCCACCUGCGGGUGGGGGAGGAAAGUCCGAGCAACAUAGAGCACCGCGCAAGUUAACGGCUUGAUAUGCGUAAGUGUAUAGUAGCGUAGAAGAAAAUAACCGCCCGCAAGGGUAAGGGUGAGAAGGCGGGGUAAGAGCCCACCGCGAGGGUAGCAAUACUCCUCGGCAGUACGUCUCGUGGGUUGCAAGACCAUGUAUACCGACAAUUAAGGGUUGCUCGCCCAAUGUCGGGGGGUAGGUUGCUGGAGGCGGCAAGUGAUUGUCGUCGUAGAUAAAUGAUGGAGGCUCCGCCGCGUGCGGAGAACAGAACUCGGCUUAUAGCGUAUCCAAAAAA